ACUGAUGUGUAUGUGUGCAUAGAGUGAGGUUAAUUUUGGGUUUAUUAUUGUUGAAUAGAUAAGUUUAUUUUGGCAGAGAAGAGAAAACGAGGAUAAACCUUUCUUGCAGAAGAAAAAGACAAGCUAGUGAAAUUGCUGACGUCUCAUAGAGACACAAUAUUAAACAAAAAACGGAUGGGACCACGAACGAAGCCAAAAACAAAGCUUGGAUCCAGUCACAAAUAGUUUUAAUGCGACAGGAACCCUUUACAGUUUCAGGUGGUGCGAGAAAUUGGAAAGACGUGUAAAAACAUGCUGCGCCCAGCCCACCUCAAAUUGAAUUGGUGCAGGAGGAUGAUGAUAAUGUUUGGUACAUCAUAUGAGGACUAAUAUUAAAAUAUUUAUUUAC
rnacentral:lncRNA from 1 species